UUUAUACUCCCUCCGUCCCAAUAUUCUCGUCUUAGAUUUGUCUAGAUAUGAAUGUAUAUAGUCACAUUUUGGUAUUUAGAUACAUUCAUUUCUAGACAAAUCUAAGACAAGAAUUUUGGGAUGGAGGGAGUAAUAA
rnacentral:pre_miRNA from 1 species